UCUGGAAUUUUUAGGGUGGAGACGACACAAAGUAUCGGCUUCUGGAGGAGACAAUACCCAUUUUAGGAUUUGGCUCUCUGUUAUUGCUCUCACAGAAAAUCAAUCCAAAAUACCAUCUAUACAAUACCAAGCACCACCAGUCGAACCAUCGUAGAUCUGUCCCCAAAACUGCCAUUGGUCCUCCAUAACAAGCCAUUUUCAUGGCGCCAUUAAUUAUUGAGUAACGUUGAGUAUCGUUCCAGUGCUCCGGUCGGCGCUUUUCUGUUCAAGAUACGAGGCUUUCGAAGGUCAAUUCACGAGGCAAAAGCAUAGCGGAGUAAAUAAUUACACGGUUCAAAAUCAAGGUACUUCCUAUCAGACUAGGCAUCAGUGAACUAGCCAUACACGGAGACUUCAAGGUAUAUC